AAAAAUCUAGAAGAUACAAUAUGUUCAUAUGAGGCAGAGGUAUGCAGUCUCCAGUCAGAAAUUACA